AUUGAACGCUGGCGGCAGGCCUAACACAUGCAAGUCGAACGAGUGGCGGACGGGUGAGUAAUGUCUGGGACACUGCCCGAUGGAGGGGGAUAACUACUGGAAACGGUAGCUAAUACCGCAUACCAUCGGAUGUGCCCAGAUGGGAUGAGCUAGUAGGUGGGGUAACGGCUCACCUAGGCCACGAUCCAGAGCUGGUCUGAGAGGAUGACCAGCCACACUGGAACUGAGACACGGUCCAGACUCCUACGGGAGGCAGCAGUGGGGAAUCUUGCGCAAUGGGCGAAAGCCUGAUGCAGCCAUGCCGCGUGUAUGAUGAAGGCCUUCGGGUUGUAAAGUACUUUCAGCGGGGAGGCGUUACUCAAAGAGAAAGCACCGGCUAACUCCGUGCCAGCAGCCGCGGUAAUUC
rnacentral:rRNA from 1 species